rnacentral:piRNA from 1 species
UGCAUUGAUGGGCUGGUGAUGUCUAUGAAUU